CAGCAGUCGCCGCGGGAAUACAGAGGUCCCAAGCGUUGUUCGGAUUCAUUGGGCGUAAAGGGUGCGUAGGUGGCUUGGUAAGUUGAAGGUGAAAUCUCGGGGCUUAACUCCGAAACUGCCUUCAAUACUGCUGAGCUCGAGGAUUGUAGAGGAGAAUGGAAUUCACGGUGUAGCAGUGAAAUGCGUAGAUAUCGUGAGGAAGACCAGUGGCGAAGGCGAUUCUCUGGGCAAUUCCUGACACUGAGGCACGAAGGCCAGGGGAGCAAACGGGAUUAGAUACCCCCGUAGUCCCUGUCUCUUAUAA
rnacentral:rRNA from 1 species